AGAUAUGUAUAUUAGUAACACUCAGAAGUAUUAUGAUAAGAUUUCUCCAUGCCAGACAAGAAAAGGCAAAGCUUUAAUAGGUCCAGUUGAAGGAAGAAUAUUCAAAAAGUUUUCAAAAAGGACAUCAGACCAGAUUAAAUCAAAAAAAAGAAGUGUAUAUUCCUUUACAAGUGAGGAAUUUUCUCCAUUAAAAGCUAGGAAAGCUAAGAAAUCCUUUACAAGUGAGGACAGUAUUCCAUUAAAAGGAAAAAGAAGUGUGGACAAUUCUUCAUUAAAAGCUAGGAAAUCCUUUACAAAUGAAGAUAUAGUUUUCCAUUAAAAGCUAGGAAAUCCCUUACAAGUGAAGAUAGUUCUCCAUUAAAAGCUAGGAAAUC